AUGUUUGCGGGUGUAGCAUCAUCAAGAUUCACAUGAGUCGGGCGGCCGCGUUACGAUUGCAAGUGAGAAUCUUGAUGAUGCUGCAUCGGCAAUAAG
rnacentral:pre_miRNA from 1 species